UGGGUAAUCUUUGAACGUGAAUCGUGCUGGGGAUAGAUGAUUGCAAUUAUUCAUCUUCAACGAGGAAUUCCUAGUAAACGCAAGUCAUCAGCUUGCAUUGAUUACGUCCCUGCCCUUUGUACACACCGCCCGUCGCACCUACCGAUUGAAUGGUCCGGUGAAAUCUUCGGAUCUGAGAGAUGUUGGAUUAAUUUCUGACGCCUUUCGGAAAAGUCGCUUAAACCUUAUCAUUUAGAGGAAGGUGAAGUCGUAACAAGGUUUCCGUAGGUGAACCUGCGGAAGGAUCAUUA
rnacentral:rRNA from 1 species